rnacentral:rRNA from 1 species
GGAUUAGGCAUGCAAGUCGAACGGUAGUAUCCUUUCGGGGAUAUGAGAGUGGCGAACGGGUGAGUAACACGUAGGUGAUCUACCCUCAAAUGGGGGACAACCCAGGGAAACUUGGGCUAAUACCGCAUGAGAGUGCCCUUAGGGGUAUUUAAAAGAUGGCAGCAAUGCUGUCGUUUGAGGAUGAGCCUGCGCCCUAUUAGUUAGUUGGUGAGGUAACGGCUCACCAAGGCGAUGAUAGGUAGGCGGCCUUAACGGGUGGUCGCCCACACUGGGAUUGAGAUACGGCCCAGACUCCUACGGGAGGCAGCAGUCGAGAAUAGUCUACAAUGGUCGAAAGACUGAUAGUGCGACGCCGCGUGAACGAAGAAGCCCUUCGGGGUGUAAAGUUCUUUUAUAUGUGAGCAAUGSUUUCUACGUGAACAGCUUGGGAUCAGGGAUAUUAGCAUAUGAAUAAGCAACGGCUAACUCCGUGCCAGCAGCCGCGGUAAUA